CGAGGGAAAAGCAACAAUAAGGUCAGAAAUAAAUAAGGAAUAUGGUAAAACUAAGUCUACGUUCAUCUCAGAAAGCGUGUUAAGGUUGUAAACAGUAGUGGCGUUGGAAAAUUUUGAAGACCAGUCAGUUACAUGCUUGAUGGUAAGUCACCCACGGGUUUGACGAGUAGCAGAUCACAGUCCUGGUAUGAAGUUAGUCCCCGG
rnacentral:lncRNA from 1 species